rnacentral:rRNA from 1 species
ACUAGCUGAGAGGAGGUGCAUGGCCGUCGUCAGUCGUUACUGUGAAGCAUCCUGUUAAGUCAGGCAACGAGCGAGACCCACGCCAACAGUUGCCAGCUCGUCCUCCGGGAUGGUGGGGACACUGUUGGGACCGCCUCUGCUAAAGAGGAGGAAGGAAUGGGCAACGGUAGGUCAGCAUGCCCCGAAUUAUCUGGGCUACACGCGGGCUACAAUGGGUGGGACAAUGGGUAUCGACACCGAAAGGUGAAGGCAAUCUCCUAAACCCAUCCGUAGUUCGGAUUGUGGGCUGCAACUCGCCCACAUGAAGCUGGAAUCUGUAGUAAUCGUGUCUCAAAAUGGCACGGUGAAUAUGUCCCUGCUCCUU